rnacentral:lncRNA from 1 species
CACAGCAACAAGUGAUCUGAGCCACAUCUGUGACCUACACCAACGCUUGCAGCAGCACCGGAUCCUUAAUCCACUGAAUGGGGCCAGGAAUGGAACCCGCAUCCUUGUGGAUGAUAGCCAGAUCGUUACUGCUGAGCCACAACAGGAACUCCUGAGAAAAAAUUUUAAAAAUAUGAAAUCAACUAAAUGCAUUUUUUUUUCUAUUUGUGUAAUAUGAUAAUUUUUUUUUUUUUGGUCUUAGGGGAAAAAAAACUAAAUCACCAAAAGGAGUAAUCUGAGUUUUAAAAGAUUUAGAAACCAUUUAGAUGAAAAGGCAGUACUAAAUAACUUAUACAUCAGAUUUUAUUUUCACUUUGCUUGUGAAAAAGCAGAAGUCAAGGCAUUCUUUCGAGUAAGUUAUACUAAACUGAUUGAAUGGUAAAUAAAAUUUAUCAUUCUUGACUUUAAUUCUUCACUGUUCAUGUGGAGAUAUAUUUGGUUGUUUAGAUAAAAAACUGGUACAUUUUGGAGGUUAAGAGAGUACAGUGAGGUGAUUAACUGUAUCGCAGUUAUGUAGGAGAAUUGCUUUAUUGAUAUAACAAAAAACUCAAAUACUGAAUCAAAACUGUCAUGAAUAAGUGAGAAUUUUUUUAAAAAAAGGCACACAAAUGAAGAUUUUAAAAGGUAGAGAUCAGGAUUACCCUUGAAAGAUAUGAGUGAAAUGAAUUUAUUAAGGGUAUUAUCAAAGUCACUCAAUAUUUAAAGUCACUCUAAUUAAAAUAGGUAUACAAUAUAAUAAGUGCAGGGUCUUUUAAAAAUAACUGUAGUGAACAAAUCCAGUGUAAGCUGAUGAUGUUGAACAAAAUUCUAAUAAUUAAGCACUUGAGAGAAACCUGCGACAAGGAAUUCACUUAGUGUAUCACAUGAAUUGAAAUUUAAAGCACAAAAUUGAAAUGGACAUUCUUCAAUUUAAUAUGCAAAAUUGGCACGUGCAGAAAAUCAGUUCUUCAAUAAAUGAUAUGCUUGAAAAAUUGUAUCUGUUGGAGUCUAUUAAGAUUCCAAUUUCAAAAUGAAAAGUGCAUCAGCACACUUGCUGCUAUUGGAGACAUCUGGGUGGAGGAAACAUCUGCGGCAUUUGGGAGUUCCUGGGCCUGGGAUCAGACCCAAGCCACAGCAGUGACAAUGCCAAAUACUUAACUGCUAGGCCACCAGGAAAUGCCUACUGGAGACAUUUUACUGGCCUAGCACUGCUAUUUGAUAAUUUCUUCCUUUCUUUCUUUCUUUCUUUCUCUUUCUUUCUUUCUUUCUUUCUUUCUUUCUUUCUUUCUUUCUUUCUUUCUUUCUUUCUUUCUUUCUUUCUUUCUUUCUUUCCUUCCUUCCUUCCUUCCCUUCUUUCCCUUCCUUCCUUUCCUUCCUUCCUUCCUUCCUUCCUUCCUUCUUUCUUCUGUUUUUUUAGGACCUCACCCACAGCAUAUGGAGGUUCCCAGGCUAGGGGUCGAAUAGGAGCUGCAGCUGCCGGCCUAAACCACAGCCAUAGCAACAUCAGACCCAAGCUGCAUCUGUGACCUACACCACAGCUCAUGGCAAUGCUGGAUCCUUAACCCACUGAGCGAGGCCAGGGAUCGAACCCACGUCCUCAUGGAUACUAGUUAGGGUUGUUAACUGCUGAGCCAUGAUGGGAACUCCCCUGUUGUGAUCAUUUCUGCUGUACAACAAAGUGAUUCAGUUAUACACACGUUCCUUCUUUUUCAUAUUCUUUUCCCCAUGUAGAUUAUCACAGAAUAUUGGAUAGAAUUCCCUAUGCUAUACAGCAGGUUCCCAUUAGCUAGCAUAUUUAGUAUAGGUGUAGGUAUGAUAAUCAUUUGUGCUUUCUUCACUUUUGGUUUUUCUUCACUUUGGCUUAUUUUCACUUUUUCUGUUAUUUGCUGUUGAACAAGAGAUUUUCCGUACAUAACGUUAGAAGUGUGAAGGCCAAAGAGUUCUGUAGAAGGAUACAGAAUGAGCAAAUUAAGCAACUUUUUAAUAUCUUUUUUCUCUAAGUUUCCAGAAAUUUAGACAUUCCCAUGUUAUCAGUACAAAAACAUGCCACGGUCAAGAGUAUAUCUUUGUUGUUGUUGUUAUUAUUAUUCAAUGAAUUUUGUUAACAUUUAUAGUUGUACAGUGGUCGUCACAACCAAAUCUUACAUUUCCAUCCCAAACCCUCAGUGCCUCCCCCACCCCCCGAACCUGUCUCAUUUGGAAACUAUAAGUUUUUCACAGUCCAUGAGUCGGUAUCUGUUCUGCAAAGAAGUUCAUUGUGUCCUUUUUUUAGAUUCUGCUUGUAAGUGGUAGCAUUUGAUGUUGGCGUCUCACUGUCUGACUGGCUUCACUUAGCAUGAUAAUUUCUAGGUCCAUCCAUGUUGCUACAAAUGCCAUUAUUUCUUUCCUCUUAAUGGCUGAGUCAUAUUCCAUUGUGUUUAUGUACCACAUCUUCUUGAUCCACUCCUCUGUCGAUGGGCAUUUAGGUUGUUUCCAUGUCUUGGUUAUUGUAUAUAGUGCUACAAUGACCAAGAGUAUAUCUUUAACAAGAGUGUUAUUUGCUUUGUAACUGAGUCUCUGAUAAAAUGAUAAACAGUUCCAUAUGAGAUCAGUGAUCUCUAGAUAUGGGAAAGUGCAACAAGAGGGAAUGUUUUCCUGGCCCAUAACAGACUAGGAAGAUAGGUGGUCCAGAGUCUUUUGGCUCUGGUGAAUAAGGCCUAGUCCAGUAAUAGCACAUUGAGUCGCCUGAAAUCUUGCCAGGACUUGGAAUGUUCAUUCCUAGCACUCUGGAUGAAAUGGUCAUGAAAUGCCUUCCAAAAAAAACUAUGGUUGAAUUAUGACCAUGGGGGAGCCCUGUGAACUGAAGUUUGGCACUUGCCAUCAGCCUCUACAUAGAGUAGAGCAUGAGCCCCUGUAGCUGCCGACCCGCAGCACCCCCUGAGCAGAGCUCAGCAUGGAGACCAGGAGUGGGGCACUCUGUGCUCUGGGAAAACGGACAGAACCGGCCUUCAGUUAGUUAGAUUUCAGGUGAGGAUUUUUAUGAGUCCAAAUUCCCGCAUCUUCUUCUCCUUUCUAGAAAAACGGAAAUCAUUUACAGUGGCAUCUGCAUCGGGCAUUAGAGAGAAAAGGCAGAAUAGAGUAGCUGUGGGUCAGGCAGCCAAGGUGAUGCUAGGAAAUAUGAUGGGAGUGAUUUUAGACUAGUCUUUCUAUUGCUGAAAACUUAAGGUUUAUGUGCCCUGUCAGACUUGAUGCCACCAGCUGGUCUCACAGCAGCAUCAGCUGGCAGCUCAACCUCACAUCUUCAAGGCCUCCUCUUAAAACAACAGACAGGAGACAACAUGAUAAGGACCGAGAGCUCCUGUUAUUUAGGUACUAAUACCGCAUCAAACAUUAAGACCUACUUAGAUAAAACCGCACUCCUCCUUCAACAGUACCGGUAUCAACCUAAACUCCAAACCUCUGUUGAAUCUUAUUUUUCUUUUCUUCCCAGUCUCUAUAGUAGGAACCUACCAUGUCCAGCCACCCAGUACUUGUCGCCCCAGCCAGCAGGAAGUAGCUACAGAAGAGAGCACCGUCGCCCUGUCCCAUGUGACCGAAGGCUGGGGUGAUAGGUUCCCAGGAGGAUGGAGACAGACCCCUGCCCCCCAAAUGUGAUUGUUCACCUUGGAGUCCUGUGGACGUGGGUACCGCCCAGCACAAGAUCUACACCCUUUGCUGGAAUGCGGGGCAUAGAUCAACCACCUAGGAGGAAUAACUGCCCUCUGUCACAGGACUCGACCACCUGCCCCUCUCUUGACCUUGCCCCCCUCCCUCGUUCUUGCCACACGCUUCCACCAUGAACUCCAUCCAGCCUCAGAUCCUUUAUCCACCUAGCACCUCCUCACAGUCAGGGCUGGUGCCAUCUUGAGCUCAGCCCCUGCACCUCUGGACCCUUAAUCUCUUUUGCUUU